rnacentral:rRNA from 1 species
UACGGAGGGGGCUAGCGUUGUUCGGAAUUACUGGGCGUAAAGGGCGCGUAGGUGGCGACCCAAGUCGAUGGUGAAAGCUCGCCGCUCAACGGCGAGUCGGCCACCGAUACUGGGUUGCUCGAGCACUGUAGAGGCUAAUGGAAUUCCGGGUGUAGCGGUGGAAUGCGUAGAGAUCCGGAAGAACACCGGUGGCGAAGGCGGCCUGCUGGGCAGUGGCUGACGCUGAGGCGCGACAGCGUGGGGAGCAAACAGG